rnacentral:tRNA from 1 species
GAUUCGCUAGCUCAGUUGGUAGAGCAUCACACUUUUAAUGUGGGGGUCCUGGGUUCGAGCCCCAGGCGGAUCACCA